rnacentral:lncRNA from 1 species
UUUGUUGGGGGCGUCACCUAGAGACUGUGUUAGCCGCUAGAUUUGUAGGGGGAAAAGCCUGGAGAUGCUGAUCUUGUUACUAUGGAUGCUGGAAACUUUAGCUAGGGGCUUAACCACAGAAUUAUGCUCUGAGAGUAAAACAUGGAAGGGGAUACUUACAACAAUGUAAUUGACAUGUUUUUUGAUGCAGAAAAUAUCCUCUUCUAGAGAAAGGGAAGCAAAAUCAAAGAGGUGUUGUGACCUGUCUGAAGUCACAGGGAAAAUGCCAGCAAAUCCCGUGUCAAACACACAACCAAGCCCACUACACACUUAAGCACUUGUGAGGUGGGUAGAUAUCAUGUCAAGUAUUCAAACUCCAGCAAAAUAAACUUAAAGACAAAAAGAUCCCGUGAG